AUUUGUUGCCUUCAGUGUUUGGCCUUGGCAUUGCCAUUCGUAAAUUGAGAUAAGAUUAUGGAGAAGCAAAAAAGAUGCUGGGGAAAUGGUUGCUUUAUUGUUUAAACUAGUCUGUAGUAUAUGUACUACUAUACUACUCUAGUAUAUUGUACACUUAGGUUGUUUUUAAAUGAUAAAUUGCUAAGAACACGAUGUUGGUACACUCUUCAGUAGGGUAAUCUACCUGAGAAAGCUGAUUGAUACUGGAAAAUGGCAGGGUUGAUGCAUGAGAUUGGUUUUUAAAACUGCUUGCCAGAGCCGAACAGGUCAAUGAGUGGUCAUUGAAGAUAAGAAAGGAAAUGAGAGUUGUUGACAGGCAAAUAAGGGAUAUCCAAAGAGAAGAAGAAAAAGUGAAACGAUCAGUGAAAGAUGCUGCCAAGAAGGGCCAGAAGGAUGUCUGUGUAGUUCUGGCCAAGGAGAUGAUCAGGUCAAGGAAGGCUGUGAGCAAGCUGUAUGCAUCCAAAGCGCACAUGAACUCAGUGCUCAUGGGGAUGAAGAACCAGCUCGCGGUCUUGCGAGUGGCUGGUUCCCUGCAAAAGAGCACAGAAGUGAUGAAGGCCAUGCAAAGUCUUGUGAAGAUUCCAGAGAUUCAGGCCACCAUGAGGGAGU
rnacentral:sRNA from 1 species